rnacentral:rRNA from 1 species
AUAUUCAUAAGCGGAGGAACAGAAACAGACUUGGACUCUGGUAGUAGUGGCGAACGAAGUGAGAUAUGUAUCAAUAUGAUAAUAUCGAAUUUUUAUGUCUGACGUUGUACUCACUCGAAGUACCCCGGUAUUUUUAUGGGAGCAAGUUAUAUGGAACUCGAGCCAUAGAAGGUGAUAGUCCUGUAUCUUUCAUUAACUUACAUAAGGGAACUUUUUAGUGAGUCGUGCUUCUUGCGAUUGAAGUGCAAAAAGGUGGUACGGUUCAUCUACUACUAAGUAUGCGAUGGGAGACCGAUAGCGAAGAAGUACCUUGAGGGAAAGAUGAAAAGUACUUUAGAUGGAGGGUUAACAGACAUGAAACCGUUGCUAGAGAAGCGCAGGAGAAUUUACAUUUCAUUUACUGAGGUGUAGCUAUAUGUAUCUUAUGAAUGUGAAGUAGUCGGGUGCCCUUAUGUAGGGUACUCAGGUCACUAUGACUCCCACUACUAUGAAUUCUUCUGCGUCCCGUCUAGAAACACGG